rnacentral:rRNA from 1 species
UACCAGCACCCCGAGUGGUCGGGACGUUUAUUGGGCCUAAAGCAUCCGUAGCCGGUUCUACAAGUCUUCCGUUAAAUCCAGCUGCUUAACAGAUGGGCUGCGGAAGAUACUAUGGAGCUAGGAGGCGGGAGAGGCAAGCGGUACUCGAUGGGUAGGGGGUAAAAUCCGUUGAUCCAUUGAAGACCACCAGUGGCGAAGGCGGCUUGCCAGAACGCGCUCGACGGUGAGGGAUGAAAGCUGGGGGAGCAACCGGG